rnacentral:misc_RNA from 1 species
AACGCACGAGACCUGCGGACCUGCGGAAGGAUCAUUACCGAGUUAUCCAACUCCCAACCCCUGUGAAUUAUACCUUUAAUUGUUGCUUCGGCGGGACUUCGCGCCCGCCGGGGACCCAAACCUUCUGAAUUUUUUAAUAAGUAUCUUCUGAGUGGUUAAAAAAAUGAAUCGAAACUUUCAACAAUGGAUCUCU